rnacentral:rRNA from 1 species
CGGGUGACGAGCGGCGGACGGGUGAGUAAUGUCUGGGAAACUGCCUGAUGGAGGGGGAUAACUACUGGAAACGGUAGCUAAUACCGCAUAACGUCGCAAGACCAAAGUGGGGGACCUUCGGGCCUCAUGCCAUCAGAUGUGCCCAGAUGGGAUUAGCUAGUAGGUGGGGUAAUGGCUCACCUAGGCGACGAUCCCUAGCUGGUCUGAGAGGAUGACCAGCCACACUGGAACUGAGACACGGUCCAGACUCCUACGGGAGGCAGCAGUGGGGAAUAUUGCACAAUGGGCGCAAGCCUGAUGCAGCCAUGCCGCGUGUGUGAAGAAGGCCUUCGGGUUGUAAAGCACUUUCAGCGGGGAGGAAGGCGUUAAGGUUAAUAACCUUGGCGAUUGACGUUACCCGCAGAAGAAGCACCGGCUAACUCCGUGCCAGCAGCCGCGGUAAUACGGAGGGUGCAAGCGUUAAUCGGAAUUACUGGGCGUAAAGCGCACGCAGGCGGUCUGUCAAGUCGGAUGUGAAAUCCCCGGGCUCAACCUGGGAACUGCAUUCGAAACUGGCAGGCUAGAGUCUUGUAGAGGGGGGUAGAAUUCCAGGUGUAGCGGUGAAAUGCGUAGAGAUCUGGAGGAAUACCGGUGGCGAAGGCGGCCCCCUGGACAAAGACUGACGCUCAGGUGCGAAAGCGUGGGGAGCAAACAGGAUUAGAU